CCCCGUCCUGGUUAGGCUGCUCCGGCCCCGCCCUGUCACUGGCUCUACAGCUUGCCAAAUGGCACGGCCGUCACGCCAGCACUCCAGCCGGGCCAGAUGCCCACAAUCUGUGGUGGGUUCCAGCGACAGACUGCCUUCACAGGAAGGUCGCCCAGAGGUCAGACAGGCGACAUGUCUUUGAAACGACGUCAUCGAUGGAAGGCCAACGCCUGCCCUCUGCCAAUCACCCCACAGGAUGGAUUGACAGCGGUUGAGCAGCAGGGGGGCUUGUUAUCUAGCCCCCACCCAGCUGGGUGCCAGACGCGCACACAGCACAACCAGGUGGGUGAUGGGUACACUGCCAGCCAGCCAGCCAGCCAGCCAGCCAGCCAGCCUGCCAGCCAGUCGGACGGACGGACGGACGGACGGACGGACGGACGGCAGACGGAUGGACGGACAGACAGACAGACAGACAGACAGACAGACAGACAGACAGACAGACAGACAGACAGGCAGACAGACAGACAGACAGACAGAGAGCUAGACGGACAGACAGAGAGCUAGACAUUCAACUAGGCAGAAGAUAGAGAUGAAAAGAGCCAGACAGUCAGACAGAGAGCUAGACAGACAGUCAGACACUGAUAGGGAACCAGCACAGCAGUACGCUGCAGCCAGACGUUUCAAACAACAUGACAAGGACAACGAAGGAUGAAAAAGAAGGGCAAAGCCAGACACCUGGGCGGCCAGACAGGAACAGAGGAGGAGACAGGCGUUCAGACAGUCGGUGACCAGGAAUGGGGACACUCAGAGAGACAGGCAGACAGACACAGAUGGGGAGUUGUGCAUAACUAUGCGAGCGGGCAGGUAGAGAACAGGCAGUGUGGAAGAGAGGCCGGACAAGUAGGUGGUCACAGGCAAGCACACAGACUGCCAGGCAUGAAUCCUGCAUCCUAAAAAGGCUGGCGGGUUAGGGCAGCAGGUCUCUGAUAAACACUGCCCCCGACUGGGCGUAGAGGGGAACUGCGUCCUCAGAUCAGAAUGCAUUGAAAGCGACUCGAAUCCCCCUUCUCUCGUCCUGGGAGUGAGAUAGACAUUUAAAAGGCAGACUCUUGAGAACGCCAAGAUGAGACAAAGAAAUAUACAUAUGUGUAAUUUAAAGAAGUGCAAAUAACUCCAUUCAACCACUAAAAUGUUUGGCGAUUUUUUUAAUGUUUUAGUGAUGUAUUUAAUAUUUACUCAUUCCCAAAGCAGAACAUUUUGGCUGAAGGCUGAGGUCUCUAACCAUUAAACCAUUUUAUCUGCCUAGCAUCAGAUAUAAUUCGGUAUAAAACAAAUUUAUAGUGAAGCAUUUCCAGUUUUUCAAGUGGGAGGAAGUUAGGAACUCACUUCUUAAUUGUUCAGCACUGUUUGUCUUAGCUAUGAGCAAAUAAAGGGACCCAUGAUGACACAUGUAAAAGAGCAGUGCAUAAUGAUCCUAAAUUAAAUGAUGAAGAAAUCACAAGUUAUCAUAUUUGGCUUGAGGAUUUUAGGAACAUUGUAAGUAAAGGCACUUCUAUCAUUGAUGCUGCAUCAAGAAACCAGACACAGAGCGUACAAAUGAAAAGACUACGGUAUAAAAACAGAAAUAUAAAGCCAAACUGUUAUUUAGCGGAAGUCUGACAGUGAAAUUCCUCCCAUGGGCAUCGUUUAUGUUGCAUCUAAAUCUAAACUCCAAAUCUUGUGACCUUCUCAAGAACAACAGUCCUCUUUGUUCCAACGACCUGACGAGAUGUUCUUCUUUAGAACGGCAUGGCCUGUGAAACGUUGGAAUCCUACAGGCCAUGUCGUAAAUGUUUAAUACUUAUAAAUUUUAUUUUAUAAAAUCUUCUUUCCAAUCGUUUAUAGUCUUCAGGCAAGAAAAACCUCACAUAGACCAUUGGCCAAAAAACGUUACUGCAGGAGAAACUUUGAUAAAAAUGACACUAAGAAGUAGUAUGUAACUAAGGAAGUAGAAUGACACAAUCUCUAUAGAGAUAGCUAGGAAACUAGUCUAAAGUGAUCAGUUUCUAUAUGAAGAUGACCUCCUACCCAUUCUCAUCUCACUUAUCUCUUCCCUUUUCUACUAUACUCACCAAACAAACUUGAGCCUUUCAACAAAUAAACACAAAUACUCAUUUACCAAUCUAUGAACAAUGUGUAUUACAGUGCUGGGCUCUAGAAAUGUGGCCCCUAAUCUGUUUACCUGGUGACGAGCCUGUGGUAAACCUCUUCUGUAGAAUAGCAUACUGCUGCUAAUGGCAAGGCCAACCACUGCGUGUUCUCCUCUUCCUUGCCUUCCACCGGAUGCACCAUGCCUUGGCUGUCGCGCCACUGGGUUCAGAAACAUCGGUACAACACUCCUGUGUGGGUGCAUGCCACCAUGAAGCAUCAAUACCACUAGCUCAACUCAAUUUGCUAGAGAGCUAUAGAGACCCAUGCGUAGGCGAUACCAGGGAAAAAAAACGAAACAAAACAGGCCACAUGAAGUUCAAGUAAUACACAGCCAAAAGGGCCCAUAAAAAUAGCAUCAGAAUGAAAUACACAAGACACAGCGAAUAUGGCCCCAACUGAGACACAUUUUCCAAACGGGUUUUGCAGGAAUGUUUACCAUCUUUAACCAAUUUUCACCAGCGCCUCAUAAGGAGAUUACAUUCACUUCCCUUCCUCCUCCUCUUCCUCCUCCUGGUCCUCUCUCCGUCUCUGUACCGGUUAAUUCUGGCUGUGUUGGGUUCACCACAGGCAUCCUGGCCUCCUCGCCAAAGCACCAUUAUCUAAUCAAUUGCCAGGAACCCGGAACUCGGCCCAACCACCGGACACCAGUAAGGGACGGAGGCCGAGGCCAGGAGGCCGGGCCUCAGUGGUGAGUCAGCAGGGAAGAAAUGAGGAAGCAGCCCCCCCCCCCCCCCACACCAGAACUGGGUGUAGGAUUCGUCAUUGCUCAGCGGGAGGUCAUUUCCACCCGUAGGCGGAUGCGGGGGCAGUAAAUAUUACAUUCUGAUCAUUAUGGGGGGGUGGGCGAAGACGAGGAAUUGGUCAGCUGACCAUUUCCGUUGACGUGAGCAUUGUCAGGGCUGUGGCUAAACUCAAUUCAACUGAAUAAACUAUCAGGUUGGAAUGCAGCUGCUAGGCUGUGUAUAUAUAUUACACACACACACACACACACACACACACACACACACACACACACACACACACACACACACACACACACACACACACACACACACACACACACACACACACACACACACACACACACACACACAAUGAUCUAGCCUCCCACAUAUAGAAAAAGUCUGGGCAUGUAAAUGACUAACUCUUUAAGUCGGAUUAGCUUCAAAGUCUGACUAAACAGUCUGCUGAAGCCAAGAUGCAAAGCAACAAUUACUGACCAAACCACCCAACGAGCAGUCCCUCUAUUCCUCCACCGCUGUGACCGCUUUAAAACGAAAAUGUAACUUCCUAUCCCUAGUAAACUAAUGAUUUCCUCUGAAAGAAGCUGUUUAAAAAAGAGCACAAAGUUGUACGUUGAUGUGAUGUGCAGGUUAUCAUUUGGUUGAGCAGCGGUAGAGUGGUUAGCUCUUGCCUCUCGGUGGGAAGGCUUAGGGUUUUCCCCCCAUGCAGGUGAGCUAGUUGGUUUUCCCUCUAACGCCAAAGAUAAACAAGACAGAAGGUCAGGCCUCAUUUUACAUCCCACCAUUUUAGGAGUUGAAUAUAUAAUUGCCUCAAAUAAAUGGAUGCAGUUACAUUGCUCCUACUAUUUAUUUUUUUCUUCUACUUUUUCCACAUGAACCCAUGACCACGGCCUUUGUUCUGGUCAGCUUGGGACCAACCACGGAUCUCUCCCCGUUCCCAUGGUCCCUUCUCCCCCGGGUGCGAUCCUCAGCCACACCUAACAAACCAUUACAAACCAUGGCAUUACCAGCUCAGUGCGACGGCUGCAUGCUAACAGACAGCCACCAACACGGACACAAAUGAAACUGGGGUCUCUCAAUGGAUGGGGGUGACUCAAAUAGAUGGCGGCUGAGUUGGCUUUGGGAGGUCUCCCCCCAACUCCACACACACACACACACACACACACACACACACACACACACACACACACACACACACACACACACACACACACACACAGGUUAAAUAAAUUUCACUUUGGUAAAAUUCCAUCAAAAGUGUAAACUCAGUUCUGAAAGCUCAGUAAACUGUUCACAUCUAAAUUAUUAAGUAUAGAGACAGAAAGCAAAACUGUAUUUUGAGAGGGAGUUCAACAGCGCUUAAGAAAUAUCAUUUGCCAACAAUAUACUGUUGAUACGACCCACACAUCAUCGUAGCACUGCUGGACUUAUGACGGGGAAUUCCACCCAGAGCCAGAGGGUAAAUCAUGAGACUUUGAAUAUCUUUUGUGAGUGUGUGUGUGUGUGUGAGUUUUUUCUUUCAUCAAGUCAGGCUGACUUGAUGACAUACAAAGGUCAAGAAAGUUUGGACAGUGUAAUCAAAACACAGACUGCCAGUCUAAGAGAACCAAUGGCUUAAAGGACCAGAGUUUCUGAAACACAUUCAAUAUAACUCCCGUCACUGAAGCAGCAGCAGCAGUUUAUUUGGGUUUGUUUACCAAAUUACCCUCAAUUAUGAACAGGCCUUUCAUUAGUUGUAUGCGUAUUUUAAGGCAAUAUCUAACUGAUCAGUUAUGUAUUUAUUCUUUUAGCAGCUCAAUCUGUCACAAAAGUAUUAGUGAACUUCAAUUUACCAUGUCAUCCCUUUGUAAAUUAAGUUUUCCCUGCCAUUACAUAUAAUUUUUUAUUUCCUUCGCUCAAUUUAAGUUUAAGUAACUGUAUAGUCGGUUGAUGUUUGAGGCUGAAAAGUUAAAUUGUAUUGUUUUUAAGUACAAUAAUGAGGCUUUAAAUAUGCAGUGAUGUUGAACCAACUCUUAGAUUUCCAAAAAUGACUAAUUCAUUGCCAGGAUUUUGUACAACCAUUUUGUGUAUUACUGCCCUUACCUGUAUUAUGCGACAUGAGAAUUAUUGUAUAGACAAUGAAAACGGUCUUAUACUUUCCCAAAAUAAUUCCCUUUACCAUAUCCCUUAUCAUUACUCUCUGGAAAGGGUUGGGGUUUUGUUCUUCUUCAUGGUUGACCUCUUAUCUUCGACCUCCAUUAUAUUUCAGCAUAAUUCAUACAAAUCAUUAAAAAGUUGAACUGC
ensembl:lncRNA